CCCUUAGAUGUUCUGGGCCGCACGCGUGCUACACUGAGUGGAUCAGCGGGUCAGGUUGCGCGAAAGUGUUUCCUAAUCUUGAAAUCCGCUCGUGAUGGGGAUUGACGGUUGCAAUUUUCCGUCAUGAACGAGGAAUACCUUGUAAGCGCGGGUCAUCAUCCCGCGCUGAAUACGUCCCUGCCCUUUGUACACACCGCCCGUCGCUCCUACCGAUUGAGUGGUCCGGUGAGGCUUUGGGAUCUGAGCGGAAAGAGUGUUUCGCUGUUUCUGCUCGGAAAACUCAGUCGAACCUUAUCAUUUAGAGGAAGGAGAAGUCGUAACA
rnacentral:rRNA from 1 species